AAGCGAUGCACAUACUGAUGAUAUUGUGCCAGCACAGCCCACCUUUGGCAAAUGGACAAGAAAACGCCACUACAAAAAUAAGAAUGCAGAAAUGUCAGAAAGUGGCAGAGCUCUACAGCCAUGGUCUGGUUUUGACAUUUGAAGUUUAUACUUCCACUGAGAAAGCUGUGAAGAUUCCCAAAGCAAUGACGUCAAAAUGAAGGGUUUCAGCAAAUCGCCCAGGUUUCACCAAGACGCAUCUUCCGGGAAGUUACGGAUCUCCAGCCUCAUCAAGAGGAAGAGAGGAAAUGCUUCGGUGUCCACUCUAGACAAAG